rnacentral:rRNA from 1 species
UACGUAGGGUCCGAGCGUUGUCCGGAAUUACUGGGCGUAAAGAGCUCGUAGGUGGUUUGUCGCGUUGUUCGUGAAAACUCACAGCUUAACUGUGGGCGUGCGGGCGAUACGGGCAGACUGGAGUACUGCAGGGGAGACUGGAAUUCCUGGUGUAGCGGUGGAAUGCGCAGAUAUCAGGAGGAACACCGGUGGCGAAGGCAGCUCUCUGGGACGGUACUGACACUGAGACGCGAAAGCGUGGGGAGCGAACAGG